rnacentral:rRNA from 1 species
CACGUAGGCGGACUGGUCAGUUGGGGUGAAAUCCCAGGGCUCAACCCUGGAACUGCCUCCAAUACUGCCAGUCUUGAGUCCGAGAGAGGUGAGUGGAAUUCCUAGUGUAGAGGUGAAAUUCGUAGAUAUUAGGAAGAACACCAGUGGCGAAGGCGGCUCACUGGCUCGGUACUGACGCUGAGGUGCGAAAGCGUGGGAGCAAACA